rnacentral:misc_RNA from 1 species
CUUCCUUUAAUUCUUUCAUUCUUUUUUCCCUGGAAGCAGGAUUCCCCCAUAAGCCACCCAGUAAUUGUUCUUUUCAAGCUUAGGUAUAAGCUCAUGAUAUGAUGUAUGAGCACCAUGCCAGUAACAUAACAAGAUGGAUUGAAAUGUUACUAAGUUUGCAAGGGAUGAAACUGAAGAAUAGUUCUUAUAGAAUGCAUUUACAUUACCCAUAACAGUAUUUUUGGAGUUAUAAUUGGAGAAAAAUUCCUGGUGACACAGCACAA